GUGCUGGCUUUGGCCAUACAUAUACUAAAAUUGGAACUAUUCAGAGAAGAUUAGUAUGGUCCCUAUGCAAGGAUGACACGCACAUUUGUGAGUGUCCCUAUUUUUAU
ensembl:snRNA U6 U6 spliceosomal RNA